rnacentral:rRNA from 1 species
UACGUAGGCAGCGAGCGUUGUUCGGAGUUACUGGGCGUAAAGAGUGCGUAGGCGGUUUUCUAAGUUUGGUGUGAAAUCUCCCGGCUUAACUGGGAGGGUGCGCCGAAGACUGGAAGGCUUGAGUAUGGGAGAGGUAAGCGGAAUUCCUGGUGUAGCGGUGAAAUGCGUAGAUAUCAGGAGGAACACCUGCGGUGUAGACGGCUUACUGGACCAUCACUGACGCUGAGGCACGAAAGCGUGGGGAGCGAACGGG